rnacentral:rRNA from 1 species
GACGAACGCUGGCGGCGUGCUUAACACAUGCAAGUCGAACGGUGAAGCCUUCGGGUGGAUCAGUGGCGAACGGGUGAGUAACACGUGAGCAAUCUGCCCUUGACUCUGGGAUAACUUCGGGAAACCGGAGCUAAUACCGGAUAUGACAUCUGGCCGCAUGGUCUGGGUGUGGAAAGAUUUAUCGGUCAAGGAUGAGCUCGCGGCCUAUCAGCUUGUUGGUGGGGAAUGGCCCACCAAGGCGACGACGGGUAGCCGGCCUGAGAGGGCGACCGGCCACACUGGGACUGAGACACGGCCCAGACUCCUACGGGAGGCAGCAGUGGGGAAUAUUGCGCAAUGGGCGGAAGCCUGACGCAGCGACGCCGCGUGAGGGAUGAAGGCCUCGGUCGUAA